rnacentral:ncRNA from 1 species
CGUGUCCCACGUGAUGACUGCCGGAACCGGCAGGCGCUGGGAUGAGGAAAUCCGGUUAGAGUCCGGAGCAUAACCCGUUGCUGUAAGUGCAGGAGUCUGUUAUCCGCGGCGUGAGCCGGCCAUUGGGAAACUGAGAAGGUAGGAUAACAGGCGCAGGGGCGAUCUUCGCCCCCCAAUGCAUGAGCCAGAAGACCGACGAUGUUCGAGACCGAAGGG